rnacentral:lncRNA from 1 species
CGAGACCAGGUUAAGAAAGGCACGUGCAGUGGAAGAACCGUGUUAGUGCACGCGUUCCUUGUUAGUGCACGCGAUGCUGGAAGUCAGCAUGCAGUAAACAUCUCAGCUUUGGCCAUCGGUGUGUCAGGGCAUGCUGAAGGCACGACAGCAGACGAGUUUCUGUCCAUUCUGGCUGAUGUGCCAACCGAGGGCGAGCAGACGUGCUGCCAUCUCCGACACCGGGAUGGAAUACACGCCAGCUGUGGGCACGAGGCUGGCUGAGCGUUGCCACCCCUUACCUGCAGCAGCAAACAGCAAGUCCCCAUCCCGUAUCAGUGCUGCAACGAGGCCUCGUUCAGAGCAAAGAUGCACAAAGACGAGGAGGACUCCCGUAGGGGGGUGCCCGCCCGCACCGCAGCAGCAAGUCCGAGCAGCCCCCGGUGCUGGCGGUGGGCUGAGGGCUGGUCCCGAAGGGAUGCUGCCGCUGAUAGCCGCUGUCGCCGAAGCUUUGGGCCACGGCCCUAUCGCACGCACACAUCUCGCAGAAACUUGA